UACGGGGGGAGCAAGCGUUGUUCGGAUUUACUGGGCGUAAAGGGCGCGUAGGCGGUCGUGACAAGUCACUUGUGAAAUCUCCGGGCUUAACUCGGAACGGUCAAGUGAUACUGUCGGACUAGAGUACAGAAGGGGCAACUGGAAUUCUCGGUGUAGCGGUGAAAUGCGUAGAUAUCGAGAGGAACACCUGCGGCGAAGGCGGGUUGCUGGGCUGAUACUGACGCUGAGGCGCGGAAAGCCAGGGGAGCGAACGGGAUUAGA
rnacentral:rRNA from 1 species